AGAGUUUGAUCAUGGCUCAGGAUGAACGCUGGCGGCAGGCCUAAAACAUGCAAGUUGAACGCUGUAGCAAUACAGAGUGGCGCACGGGUGAGUAACAUGUGGGAAUAUGCCUUUUGGUACGGAACAACGUUUGGAAACGAACGCUAAUACCGUAUGGUCCCUUCGGGGUAAAGAUUUAUCGCCAAAAGAUUAGCCCGCACUAGAUUAGCUAGUUGGUGAGGUAAGAGCUCACCAAGGCGACGAUCUAUAGCUGGUCUGAGAGGACGAUCAGCCACACUGGGACUGAGACACGGCCCAGACUCCUACGGGAGGCAGCAGUUAGGAAUAUUGGACAAUGGGCGCAAGCCUGAUCCAGCCAUGCCGCGUGAGUGAUGAAGGCCUUCGGGUUGUAAAACUCUUUAGCCGAUGAAUAUAAUGACUGUAGUCGGAAAAUAAGCCCCGGCUAACUUCGUGCCAGCAGCCGCGGUAAUACGAAGGGGGCGAGCGUUAUUCGGAAUCACUGGGCGUAAAGCGUGCGUAGGCUGCUUAGAAAGUUGGAAGUGAAAGCCCAGGGCUCAACCCUGGAAUUGCUUUCAAAACUACUAGGCUAGGAUUUGGGAGAGGAUAGCGGAAUUGUCAGUGUAGCAGUGAAAUGCGUAGAUAUUGACAGGAACACCAGUGGCGCAAGCGGCUAUCUGGACCAACAUCGACGCUGAGGCACGAAAGCGUGGGGAUCAAACAGGAUUAGAUACCCUGGUAGUCCACGCCGUAAACGAUGUGUGCUUGUCGCUGGGGGGUUCACCCUUCGGUGACGCAGCUAACGCGUUAAGCACACCGCCUGGGAAGUACGGCCGCAAGGUUAAAACUCAAAGGAAUUGACGG
rnacentral:rRNA from 1 species